GAUGAACGCUGGCGGCGUGCUUAACACAUGCAAGUCGAACGGUGAAGCCAAGCUUGCUUGGUGGUUCAGUGGCGAACGGGUGAGUAACACGUGAGCAACUUGCCCUGGACUCUGGGUUAAGCGCUGGAAACGGCGUCUAAUACUGGAUAUUAGCCUCUUCCGCAUGGUGGGGGUUGGAGAGAUUGUUUGGUCUGGGUUGGCGGCGCGGCUUAUCGGCUUGUUGGUGAGGUAAUGGCACACCAAGGCGUCGACGGGUCGCCGGCCCGAGAGGGUGACCAGCCACAAUGGGACUACGGGACGGACCAGUCUCGUACGGGAGGCAGCGGUGGGGAAUAUUGCACAGUGGGCGAGCGCCUGAUGCAGCAACGCCGCGUGAGGAAUGACGGCCUUCGGGUUGUAAACCUCUUUUAGAAGGGAAGAAGCGAUAGUGACGGUACCCGCAGAAAAAGCGCCGGCUAACUACGUG
rnacentral:rRNA from 1 species